UGGCGCUGGAGACACUGGCCCGAGGCGCGGUCUUCUGACAUGGAAUUCUCCACACUGAGACUCAAUUCUGGAAUCUGGAGUUAAAUGAAUGUGUCACAUCACAUGCACAGGAGCGGGCCUGUCGGGAUCAUUUUCUGAUCAGUUGGCAACCUGAUUGCCGGGGAACCUUUGCACGAACAUUGUGUUGAGUCAGAAACUCCAGCCCUGAGCCCGCCUAUUAAGUUGCCUGUAAAAUGGAGGUAUUGUUCGUUGCCAAGUGAAAUUCUUUCCACUGAGCAUAGCCAUGCACUGUGGGAACAAUCACACACAGGAAAGCUUGAUCCCAAAAUUAACAUGUGCAGUCAUCACAUUACUGGAUGCCAUAAAAACAAAUAAGCUAAUGAUUUAUAUAUGCUUUCUUCCCAGCCAUUGUGGGUAUAUUUCGGUAAAUGACAAGCAGGGCUGAGCAGGCAGCAAGUAGGCAGGGCUCCAUGGCUG